GGGCAUAUGGUCUAGUGGUAUGAUUUCUGUUUUGCAAUGCCUACCCCGCCACGGCACGGUACGGUUGCUUAUACAGACGGUCCCGCGUUCGAUCCGCGGUAUGUCCA